AGUGAACGCUGGCGGCGUGCUUAACACAUGCAAGUCGAACGAGAACGGAUUAUAGCUUGCUAUAAUUGUCAGCUAAGUGGCGCACGGGUGAGUAAUGUAUAGGUAAUAUGCCUCUUACUAAGGGAUAACAAAUGGAAACGUUUGCUAAUACCUUAUACUCCUUAUUAACAGAAGUUAAUAAGGGAAAGAUUUAUUGGUAAGAGAUUAGCCUGUAUUGUAUCAGUUAGUUGGUGGGGUAAUGGCCUACAAAGACUAUGACACAUAACUGGUUUGAGAGGAUGAUCAGUCACACUGGAACUGAGACACGGUCCAGACUCCUACGGGAGGCAGCAGUGGGGAGUAUUGCACAAUGGACGAAAGUCUGAUGCAGCAACGCCGCGUGGAGGAUGACACAUUUCGGUGCGUAAACUCCUUUUAUAUGAGAAGAUAAUGACGGUAUUAUAUGAAUAAGCACCGGCUAACUCCGUGCCAGCCGCCGCAGUAA
rnacentral:rRNA from 1 species